rnacentral:ncRNA from 1 species
UAUCUUCGGGGCGGGGUGAGAUUCCCCACUGGCGGUAAAGUCCGCGAACUGCUUUUGCAGCCGAACCGGUGAGACUCCGGUACCAACAGUAUAGUCUGGAUGAAAGAAGAUU